rnacentral:lncRNA from 1 species
AAAGAAGUGUUUAAGAUUAAGGAGGUGCCCCUUCCACAUAAAUACUAUGCCUCUCUUCCUCCCUAAUGUACUUAACUCUAAAUAUUCUUCAAAUCGAAGAGUUUCAGUGAUAUGUUUGUGAUCAACCAUCUUGGUUUCUAGUAAGGCUACUACGGUAGGAUUUUGGGUCUUGAUGGGAGCAUCACACUGACACUUGGAGUUAGCACUGUGGGCUCCCCUAGUGUUCCAAAUAAUGAAUUUCAUAGGGUUAGAGAGAUUAGAUGGGAAGUUGGUCAUUGUUUGCUUCCCCUUUUCCUUUUGGGGGAGUCUUCCUCAGGUCCAG